AAGGGCACCACAAGAACGCGUGGAGCAUGUGGCUUAAUUUGACUCAACGCGGGAAAUCUUACCGGGUCCGGACACACUGAGGAUUGACAGGUGACCAUACAACGGAUCUCAUGCACUUCGGUGUGUGUCCCAUUGUAUAUAAAUAUGCUAGUCCUUUCAUGAUUAUGUGAUAGGUGGUGCAUGGCCGUUCUUAGUUCGUGGAGUGAUCUGUCUGCUUAAUUGCGUUUCACAGAGGAUUCAGUAUCCGCGUAACGUGUACCUGUUACCUUAUGAGAUCCCUUUCAUUGCUUACUUGGCGCUUCGGCAAAAAGUGUAGCUGAGAGUGCGUGUCUCUGGUUUCUUGGAUUACCGUUACGCACUCGAAUCCGGAAAGCAACGAACGUGACCGCAACCAGUUGUUGCACUUAAAAAAAAUAAUGUCUGGCUUUAAAAUUUCACUUCGGUGGCUUUUUAAAUGUCAUGACAUGAACAAAAGUGCUUGUCGAAACUACUGGGACCGCUGUCUACCUUUUAAACCAGAGGAAGGUUGCGGCAAUAACAGGUCUGUGAUGCCCUUAGAUGUUCCGGGCUGCACACGUGCUACAAUGAUUAUUGCAGUGAGCAUCUCAAAUUCUAAAAACCGAUCGUUUACUCUGCCUAACUUCAUACUUGUAUGUUUGUUGGUGUCAUGACGUAUUCGCGGUUAAGCCUGCUUCGAAAGCAAGUAGGUAAUCAAUUAGAAGUAAUGAUUUCCCAAUCAGCACAACUAUGUGUGACAUUUACAACCAGUCUAGGCUUGUCUUAGUACUCGUGUUUGUGAGUGAGUAUGUUUUUUAUCAUGCUGUAUCACACGUGCAUUUGUCAAUUCAAGGUGGGGACAAACCAUUGUUAAUUGUUGGUUUCGGUCUUAACUAGGAAUGCCUUGUACGGGUCUUUGGUUCAACAAACCA
rnacentral:rRNA from 1 species